UGACGGUACCUGACUAAGAAGCCCCGGCUAACUACGUGCCAGCAGCCGCGGUAAUACGUAGGGGGCAAGCGUUAUCCGGAUUUACUGGGUGUAAAGGGAGCGUAGACGGAGUGGCAAGUCUGAUGUGAAAGGCAUGGGCUCAACCCGUGGACUGCAUUGGAAACUGUGAUUCUUGAGUGCCGGAGGGGUAAGCGGAAUUCCUGGUGUAGCGGUGAAAUGCGUAGAUAUCAGGAGGAACACCGGUGGCGAAGGCGGCUUACUGGACGGCAACUGACGUUGAGGCUCGAAGGCGUGGGGAGCAAACAGGAUUAGAUACCCUG
rnacentral:rRNA from 1 species